rnacentral:lncRNA from 1 species
UCAUCUCCCGUGUUCAGAUGACAUUUACAAAGACUCUUUUUUUGUGCUUCAUUGUAGAUUUUUGCUCACUUUGAAUACUGCCUUCAUUUUUAAAACAGAUUUUUCUCACAAUUCUCAGGGAAUAUAUUUGCUAUUAAUGGUCAGUUUGACCUGGCAGACAGGCCUCUGGUUAUGGUUGUGGGGCUUAGCUUGAUAUCAAUGGAUGUGUGAGGAACUAUCCUAAGUAUGAGUAAGACCGUUUCCGGGACAGGGAACCCUGGACUGUGUGCAUGGAGAAAGGGAACUGAAUAGCAAUUAAAUUCAGCUCUUUUUUUCCCAGGUGAGACUCUGAUGGGACCACCUGCUCAAACUCCUGCCACUCUAUUUCUCCUGCCUUGAUGGACUGCACCUUGGACUGUGAUCUAAAAUAAAGCUUGUCUCCUUUAAGUUAUUCUAUCGGAAUAUUUUAACACAGCUCUUCCCUACAAUAAGCUUAAGAUGGAGCGAGCCUAAGAUAGAAGGGCAGGCUCCACAGUGGCCGAGAGUAGAGAUUAGGUUUACAGUGAGAGUGAUUAGAGAGUCCUUAGUCCCUGAGAAUGAAAUGCCUUCAUUAUAACAACGAUAAAAACAAAGCAAAGAAUAACUAGAACAACUGUCAAAAAAGUCUUGGUAAACCAGGAGUCAAAUAAAUUGCCCAUUUAUGUUGCUCAAAUGGGUUUAACAAAAUUUCAGAUAAUUUUUCCUUUGAAGACCAAGUGUAAGGCUCUGAAACGAUACAGGUAGACAGAAUCUUACCUUUUGUCUAAAAUGAGAGAAGGGUUUUGCCGUGUAUACAACUGUUAAUGGGGUAAAGUGAGGUUCUACUAGGAGAAUCCACCUAAAAUGUAGCACGUGGUCCACUUGAUAAAAUCUGUAAAGCACUCUUAGAAGUCAAUGUAGAUACAAGUUUUUAGCUGGUGUAUGUGUCCAGAGGUACUCAAGAAAGCACACCUGGUAUACCUCGUGCUUUUGGAACUUGGCAUCAGAGUUAAGACAGUUUCAUCAACAGGCUCAGAGUAUUCUGUCAAUCACCUUCCUCUAGAUGGAAAGAAGAAACCAUCAUAUACAGUUUCUCAAAGAAAACAUUUAUUUGGCAGAUAAGAGGUUAGUAAUGGAAAAAAAAUCAAUAAUGAUUCUUCCCUUUCCACAACACUUGGUCAACCUUUCUAGGUUGCAUGCACUGGCCUAGGGAUGCGUGUGUUGGGAGAGGGUCUGAUGCUUCUGAGUCCUAUGGAAAGGUGACAGAGGGAGAGAGUGGAGGUGACAGGCUAAUGUGCACUCAAUUUAAUUUCUACAUUACAAUUUCCAUAGAAAGAUACUUAAAAUAUAAUUCCUAAAAUAAGAUAUUUUGUUUUAUAAAACACAGAUUACUAAUGGAGAUGUAUUGCAUUAUCUUCAAAUCUGUCUUCAGCCUCAUUCUCAUCAUCUAUAUGUAGAGCCCACACAGCUCCGACAUAGUUGGAUAGAAAAAUGGAAUACUCUACCAUUACCUUACUUAUAACUCCAUGGAGCCAAACCAGCAAGUCUGAUAAUCAUUUCAUUGCAGCUUGUCAUUUUACCUUACAACUCUGUAGACUAAAUAAAUAGAAUGCCCAGUAUUCUGUGUGUAAUAUCUAGUAUCUGUACGUUAUAAUUUCACUAUCACAGUAAAAAUUUUAUGGGAAGCCUCCCCCACUCUUCUUUGUAAUUUAUAAUUAUUUAUGUCCCCUUAAAUUAUGUCAUGUGAGUUUUUCUGUGAUUGGGUUACCUCACUCAGGAUGAUAUUUUCAAUGGCAAAAUAUUUUGUGACUUCAAUAAAAAUAUAUUUUCC